UACGUAGGUGGCGAGCGUUGUCCGGAUUUACUGGGCGUAAAGAGCGCGCAGGCGGUCGUUCAAGUCGCGUGUGAAAGCCCCCGGCUCAACUGGGGAGGGUCACGCGAUACUGAUCGACUCGAAGGCAGGAGAGGGAAGUGGAAUUCCCGGUGUAGUGGUGAAAUGCGUAGAUAUCGGGAGGAACACCAGUGGCGAAGGCGACUUCCUGGCCUGUUCUUGACGCUGAGGCACGAAAGCUAGGGUAGCAAACGGG
rnacentral:rRNA from 1 species